AUUGAACGCUGGCGGCAUGCUUUACACAUGCAAGUCGAACGGUAACAGCACUUCGGUGGCUGACGAGUGGCGAACGGGUGAGUAAUACAUCGGAACGUGCCUAGUAGUGGGGGAUAACUACUCGAAAGAGUAGCUAAUACUGCAUGAGAUCUAAGGAUGAAAGCAGGGGACCUUCGGGCCUUGCGCUACUAGAGCGGCUGAUGGCAGAUUAGGUAGUUGGUGGGAUAAAAGCUUACCAAGCCGACGAUCUGUAGCUGGUCUGAGAGGACGACCAGCCACACUGGGACUGAGACACGGCCCAGACUCCUACGGGAGGCAGCAGUGGGGAAUUUUGGACAAUGGGCGCAAGCCUGAUCCAGCAAUGCCGCGUGCAGGAUGAAGGCCUUCGGGUUGUAAACUGCUUUUGUACGGAACGAAAAGCCCUCUUCUAAUACAGGAGGGUCAUGACGGUACCGUAAGAAUAAGCACCGGCUAACUACGUG
rnacentral:rRNA from 1 species